AGAAACAACAAGUUUUGUAUAAUGGCAAUGUAUACUUUUAUUCUCCAUAUGUCACUAAAUCUCAGACAACAACAGUAACUACCACAAACACUGCCAUGAGUCCUACAGCAAAUCUCCAAAACCAGUCUCCCAGAGUGACAGAACAAUUACAUACGGACCAUAUGAACAAAGGGAAGCAUUUGCUGAGGCAGAAUUGAGAGUACACUAUGAAAACAAUUCUCCUUUCCUGACUGUCACCAAUUUGGAAAGGAUCAUAGAAAUUUCACACUGGGGAAACAUAGCUGUUGAGGAACACAUUAAUCUGAGACACACAGGAGCUCUGCUGAAGGGACCGUUCUCCAGAUAUGACUAUCAAAGAUCUCAAGAUGGACUGUCAUCAAUCAAAUCAUUUAAGACAGUUCUUCCUGCCUCUGCCCGAGAUGUUUACUAC